AGCGAACGCUGGCGGCAGGCCUAAUACAUGCAAGUCGAACGGCUCUUCGGAGCAGUGGCGGACGGGUGAGUAACGCGUGGGAAUAUGCCCUUUGGUACGGAACAACCCAGGGAAACUUGGGCUAAUACCGUAUGUGCCCUUCGGGGGAAAGCGGGGGAUCGUAAGACCUCGCGUUAUUGGAGCGGCCGAUGCCGGAUUAG
rnacentral:rRNA from 1 species